rnacentral:rRNA from 1 species
GACUUGUGUGUGCUUGCAAUUAGCGGUCAGUUCCCAAAAGGGUUCUCCGACAUGCGUUGCAGGUGCCGUCAAACCUUCAACUGAAUCGUACCUGGACUUCAUUGUCUGGGCGCUGUUCAUUCGGUUGAUCGUUUACUGUGAGAAAAUUAGAGUGUUCAAGGCAGGCAUUAUUGCAAUUGAAUAUGUUAGCAUGGAAUAAUAAGAUAGGGCUUUCGCUUUAUUUUGUUGGUUUCUAGAGUGGAAGUAAUGAUUGAUAGGGACAGUUGGGGGUGCUAGUAUUCAGCGGCCAGAGGUGAAAUUCAUGGAUUCGCUGAAGACUAACUUAUGCGAAAGCAUU